rnacentral:rRNA from 1 species
ACGAAAAAUGAAUACCAAGUCUCAAGAGUGAACACGUAAUUCAUUACGAAGUUUAAUUCAUUGAGCAUCAAACUUUUAAAUUGAAGAGUUUGAUCAUGGCUCAGAUUGAACGCUGGCGGCAGGCCUAACACAUGCAAGUCGAACGGUAACAGGAAGCAGCUUGCUGCUUUGCUGACGAGUGGCGGACGGGUGAGUAAUGUCUGGGAAACUGCCUGAUGGAGGGGGAUAACUACUGGAAACGGUGGCUAAUACCGCAUAACGUCGCAAGACCAAAGAGGGGGACCUUCGGGCCUCUUGCCAUCAGAUGUGCCCAGAUGGGAUUAGCUUGUUGGUGAGGUAACGGCUCACCAAGGCGACGAUCCCUAGCUGGUCUGAGAGGAUGACCAGCCACACUGGAACUGAGACACGGUCCAGACUCCUACGGGAGGCAGCAGUGGGGAAUAUUGCACAAUGGGCGCAAGCCUGAUGCAGCCAUGCCGCGUGUAUGAAGAAGGCCUUCGGGUUGUAAAGUACUUUCAGCGGGGAGGAAGGUGUUGUGGUUAAUAACCGCAGCAAUUGACGUUACCCGCAGAAGAAGCACCGGCUAACUCCGUGCCAGCAGCCGCGGUAAUACGGAGGGUGCAAGCGUUAAUCGGAAUUACUGGGCGUAAAGCGCACGCAGGCGGUCUGUCAAGUCGGAUGUGAAAUCCCCGGGCUCAACCUGGGAACUGCAUUCGAAACUGGCAGGCUUGAGNNNNNNNNNNNNNNNNNNNNGAAAUGCGUAGAGAUCUGGAGGAAUACCGGUGGCGAAGGCGGCCCCCUGGACAAAGACUGACGCUCAGGUGCGAAAGCGUGGGGAGCAAACAGGAUUAGAUACCCUGGUAGUCCACGCCGUAAACGAUGUCUACUUGGAGGUUGUGCCCUUGAGGCGUGGCUUCCGGAGCUAACGCGUUAAGUAGACCGCCUGGGGAGUACGGCCGCAAGGUUAAAACUCAAAUGAAUUGACGGGGGCCCGCACAAGCGGUGGAGCAUGUGGUUUAAUUCGAUGCAACGCGAAGAACCUUACCUGGUCUUGACAUCCACGGAAGUUUUCAGAGAUGAGAAUGUGCCUUCGGGAACCGUGAGACAGGUGCUGCAUGGCUGUCGUCAGCUCGUGUUGUGAAAUGUUGGGUUAAGUCCCGCAACGAGCGCAACCCUUAUCCUUUGUUGCCAGCGGUCCGGCCGGGAACUCAAAGGAGACUGCCAGUGAUAAACUGGAGGAAGGUGGGGAUGACGUCAAGUCAUCAUGGCCCUUACGACCAGGGCUACACACGUGCUACAAUGGCGCAUACAAAGAGAAGCGACCUCGCGAGAGCAAGCGGACCUCAUAAAGUGCGUCGUAGUCCGGAUUGGAGUCUGCAACUCGACUCCAUGAAGUCGGAAUCGCUAGUAAUCGUGGAUCAGAAUGCCACGGUGAAUACGUUCCCGGGCCUUGUACACACCGCCCGUCACACCAUGGGAGUGGGUUGCAAAAGAAGUAGGUAGCUUAACCUUCGGGAGGGCGCUUACCACUUUGUGAUUCAUGACUGGGGUGAAGUCGUAACAAGGUAACCGUAGGGGAACCUGCGGUUGGAUCACCUCCUUACCUUAAAGAAGCGUACUUUGCAGUGCUCACACAGAUUGUCUGAUGAAAA